GACCUGAACCAGAGGGUGGGUAGGAGGUGCUUCUGAAGUGGUCGGAGCUAAGUAGGCUUCUGCGGAUCAUCCGAUUCCGGAGCAACAUUUACCUGUUAUUCCUGAGUAAAUUGAGGAUCCAAGUAAGGUCGUGGUCCCUGCGAAAAGCGUCACCGUUACCUCCUGCUUCUCACGACUUCCGGGAUCCUGGAUCACUCUGGCCUCAUGGAAUCCAAGAAUGGAAGAUGGGAUCUUGAUCUGGAGUUUAGGAAGUGAAGUCAUGUGGUGAAGUGAGAACAAAGAGAAGAAACAGAGAACUGAAUUCAGGCUAUAAUGAGCUAAAACAAGGAUCUAGUUAUUGACAGAACUAGAAUUCUUAAUUUUUUUCUUUGGCCUCAGUCUCUGACAUUGGUCUGCUCACACUAUGUUUAUCUAAAAUUUGCUAUUUUGUUCAUCAUGCAUUAUUUUGACGUUUAUUUUUUUAAUAGCAUUAAGGAGUUCCCAUGGGUAUUGAGGGUUAAGGAUCAGCAUUGUCACUGCAGUGGUGACAGUUCAACCCCUGGCCUGGGAACUUCCCCAUGCUGCAAGUGUAGCAGGAAAAAAAAAAUGGCAUUAAAACUGUUAUUACUUAUCUUGAUUACUGAUGUUUUGGACAUAGUCUUUAAUUUUGUGCCGUCAUAUUCUAGUCCUGGCCCUGGGAAGGAGAGUGAAGAUGGUGAAGGUGAUGCAGGUGCCUCAUACCCUGAGAGAAAAGUUAUAUUUCUUCCCCUUCUUUUUGAAAUGAAUACUUUGAAAUUGAACAGCUUAAAUCCUUCCUUGUCCUUUUUGGGGACUUAGUUACACCCUAAACACAAUCACCCAUAAGCUAAAGCUGAGCAGAAUUGCCUGUGGGUUAAAGUUUAUUAGCACAUGAUGUCUUUCAGGAACUUUCCUAGUUUGUUCUAAUCUCUGACCAAUAUGCCCUUUUCACAAGUACUAUUAUUCUAGAUGAUAACCCAGAAGACCUCCAUCAUGUUCAUUCUAAGAUCUUCUGACUCCAGCUUUGAUGACUAGGAUUCCCCCAAAGAAACAAGAAUGCAUGUUUGUCCCAAUCCUGAUUCCUAUCUGAAAAACUGUUUUUCUCCUUUUUGCUAUAAAACUCCUUGCAAUUCAUUCUAAGGGGAUGGGGGGGGCACAGUCUUUAAGGCAUUAGCCUGCUUUGCCUCUCCUUUGCCUGGCAAAGCAAUAAAGCUUUUUUUUUUUUUUUUUUAACUCCUUUACCCAAAACUCUGUCUCUGCUUUUCAGUUCAGCACCAGCAGACAGAGGCCAAAUUCCAUCAAUAAAGGAACCAAAGCCUUCACCAGUUUCAGAGUUUGGAAAGGCCUGAGCCCAGAAAGCACCAAUCACAUUUACACCUUUUCUAUGGUCCACUUCUCUCUACCUGCUGCAUGGUCUCAAAUUGGGGUGACACCAUUACUUCUGUUGCCCUUCACCAUCUUUUUUUUUUUUUUUUUUUUUUUUUUGGUCAUUUUAGUGCCACACCUGUGGUAUAUGGAAGUUCCCAGGCUAGGGGAAUCAGAACUGCAGCUACCGGCCUACACCACAGCCACAGCAAUGGGAGAUCUGAGCUCUGUCUGUGACCUACACCACAGCUCAUGGCAAUGCCUUAUCCUUAACCCACUAAGAGAGGCCAGGGAUUGAACCCACAUCCUCAUGGAUACUACUUGGGUUCCUUCCUUACUGAUGAGCUACAAUGGGAACUCCUGCCCUUUACCAUCUUGAUUAAACUCUACAACAUUUCUUUUCCUUUGUGUCCUGAACAUGUUAGAAAUGGCAAAGAACUUUUAUUAGAAAAAUACAAUCACCAAAUCACACAGAACGGUAAUGGUAAAGUUCAAAGGACACAUAUUUUGACACUCUUGGUCUCACCCUUGACCUUGCCAGUGAAUAAAAUAGGGCUUCACUCUCAUGGAUUUGUUCCAGUAUGCCACUUUUAGCAUACCUGCCACUGUUCGUUGAGUUUUUUACAAUUUGGGAGUAUCUUUGCCUUUCCUCUGGCAAUCUUGAAUGAAGUAAAUCAUCUGCAGUGGCAGGGGUAUAGCAGGGCUGAUGUGUCUUAAAUGUCCCAGUGAGGAGCAAUGGAAACAAAGAUGAGUACCAUGCUAUAUCAAUAGUCAGAACCUUUCUUAUGCAAAUAAGGACACCUAGGCACUCAAGUCACUGGGUGUUUUAUUGAAAAAUUACUGAAAUUGUUUGAGUUGAAAUCCAUAACCAUGUAAUUACCUGACAAUAGUAUAGCUGGUUUUUAAUUUUUUCUGUGAAUGUGAGAAUCUGUACUUGUAAAACGUAGGCUUGUAUGCCCUAAGAUGCAUCUGAACUGAAUAAAGUAUUGGAGUUUUUUGGUGUAAAUUACAUAAAAAAGCACAUACCUGUUUUAAACAAAUAUAAUUGUUAAGCUCAUGUUUCUACUGAAAUGCCCUUGUGGAGAGGAAUUAUAAUUCAUCCAGAAAAAUCAUUUAGUUUCCUUCAAAUAUCCAUUUUAAAUAAUAAAAUAACACAUUUCUUAA
rnacentral:lncRNA from 1 species